rnacentral:tRNA from 1 species
GGGGUGGUGAUCUAGCUCGGUUAUGAUAUCUCCUUGACGUGGAGAAAGUCGGCGGUUCGAAUCCGCCCCACCCCACCA